rnacentral:rRNA from 1 species
GACGAACGCUGGCGGCGUGCCUAAUACAUGCAAGUAGAACGCUGAAGCGAGGAGCUUGCUCUUCUUGGCUGAGUUGCGAACGGGUGAGUAACGCGUAGGUAACCUGCCUGGUAGCGGGGGAUAACUAUUGGAAACGAUAGCUAAUACCGCAUAAAAUUGAUUAUUGCAUGAUACUUAAUUGAAAGAUGCAACUGCAUCACUACCAGAUGGACCUGCGUUUUAUUAGCUAGUUGGUGAGGUAACGGCUCACCAAAGCGACGAUACAUAGCCGAACUGAGAGGGUGAUCGGCCACACUGGGAACGAGACACGGCCCAGAAUCCUACGGGAGGCAGCCGUAGGGGAUCUUCGGCAAUGGGGGGAACGCUGACCGGGCAACGCCGCGUGGGUGAAGAAGGUUCUCGGAUCGUAAAGCCCCGUUGUAAGGGAAGAAAGGGUGUGAGAGUGGAAAGUGCACACUGUGACGGUAUCUUAUCAGAAAGGGACGGCUAACUACGUG